CUGAAGGUUUUUUUUAAAACCACCACACUUAUACAAUGCCUGUACA
rfam:Lottia gigantea unplaced genomic scaffold LOTGIsca_45, whole genome shotgun sequence.